UUUUUAAAGCGCCCGUGCUGCAGCAAGCUGCGGGCAGCCCCGCAGGAGUAGAUCCCGCGGGGCGGAGUGGACGCUGGGGGGGCGGCGCGGUCCCAGCCCCUCCUCCGCUCCCGCGGCGCGCAGCCGGGCGGCGUGCCAGGCGGCUGCGUGCCCGGACGGGCGGCAUCCGGUCUCCGAGUACCGACUCGCGAGGCGGCGGCCUCUGUCCCGAGAGCUCAGCGGUCCGCUCCGCCCCUCCGGAAGUCUCUCAUCCGUUAACUUUGAGUGGUAUCUUUUGCUGAACAGAAGUACUUAAGACUUACCGCGGAAGAAUGAGGACUCCAAAGAUUUAGUAAUGUGCACCCCACAUCUGCUUGCAUCUCUGGCCAGUCGAAAGCUGGUAAGGGAAACUCACCGUUGUCCCUCGUCAACCUCGUCAGGUCUGUUUUACUGUGCGGGUCAAAAGGCAAGGCGGAAAGAAGGACUGGUGCCUGAGGAAGGCUUCCAGGAGGAACAGAGAGGCCAGGGGCUCCGGCAGCGACUCUGCAGCUACCAUUCCUGCUAUCAGCAAAGACUGAAGAGGGGUGAUGGGAGAGAGGCCCGCGGCCGCCACAGAGCAAGGAAACCAGAAGGAUGGUGGGAGGGGAGGUGUAGAAAACACAGUGAGGUUUCUCGACUUACUUUUCUCCUGCCUUCUGAACAUUCAAUUCCCACUGGGAACUAAAGGUCCUCUCCCCAAUCCUUGCUUCCCAUCCCACGAACUGAAAUAACAAGGUCCGUGAAGCCAAGGAUGGGAUGGGACAGCUCCUCCGAAGGAGCUCAUUUCAGUAACAGCGCCGAGUGGGAGGGCCGGUCUUUUGUACUUCACCAAAGUGUCCCAACUGUUGAAAAUUUCAAACUGGUCCGUUAGUAGAAAUAAUGAGUUAAAUUUUUUCAUGGAAGCAACUGAAUUGUGUACUGGCAUGCUUAGGUUUAUAGAAACGACAAAAUUUAUUGUCCUCUAGAAUAAACAUGGAAUAAUUAAAUACCCUGAAUGUCCCCCAUCGAGCUAAGGCGGUGAUACAACAGUCCCCGCCGGCGUUGCUCUGAGGCCCAGGGC
rnacentral:lncRNA from 1 species